rnacentral:tRNA from 1 species
UUUAGUCAAAACCAAUGUUUUGAGGUAUCCAACUGUUGAUUGGGUCAUAGGGUUAACCUGACUAAA